rnacentral:lncRNA from 1 species
AGUCACCGAGGCCCGGACCUGCGGCGUCGGCGGCGCGCGCAGAGGGCCAGGCGGGCGUAGAGGCCGGACCGACGCGUGGCGGCAGAGGGUAUCCAAGGCCGGACCUGGCGCGCAGGCGCUGACCCGACCUGGCAGUGAGCUGGCCGCGGCCUUGGCUGAGAGGCCUUAACCCCGCCGGGCGGCCGCGCCCUGCAUGCGAGUUGGGCCGCGGGCGGGGUUGGAGCCUACUCGGGGCGACUGCGAUGGACGCCUUAGAAGGAGAGAGCUUUGCGCUGUCUUUCUCCUCCGCCUCUGAUGCAGAAUUUGAUGCUGUGGUUGGAUAUUUAGAGGACAUUAUCAUGGCUUCCCAGAACAAUCUGCGGCACUAGGUCCUACCUCCAGCCAAUGAAUGGGAUCAUUCUGGAUGUCACCAGCCCAAUAGGCUCAGCUCAUGAUGACAGAACACAUCUUGGAAAGACUGACUCUGUUAUGUAACUCUUCAUUUAUGUUAAGUAUUAAUAGGUCAAAACCAAAAUGACCUAACCCUCCUGGACCUAUUUAUCCUGAAACACCUUCUUGUAUUCAUUAACCAUAGUACUCCUCCCCACCUCAAGUAGACACCUCUCUCAGGAGCUUCUGAGUCAGACGCCUCUGGAGCGAGCCCUAUGUCAGGCACUCCACCUGGGGGGCCCUUCCCCAGCAUACCUGCUGGUGUGUAAGUGUGGACUAACCCGCCGCCACCACCCUCUGUUCCAGCAGGCUCUGCAUGAAUCUUUGUGCACUUGCACCUCUUUUUCACAUGGGCCACAGUUUCAGUACUUCAGCCUCAGUGGGGUUCCUGAUGUUUAUCUAGGGUGUUACUCAAGCCCAGUUUGAGAUUUUGGAGUCUCCUGUGAUCACAUCUUGUCUCGGCUGUAGGAAUCAACAGAAGGAGACGUCCUCUACAUAAAAGCUCCAUGUGAAAAGCUACUCCUAGUCUUAACAUUUGCAGUCCUUGUGUCACUGUCUUCUGGUCCUGAUGUAGUCCCACUGUUUCUAGAAGUCUCUUUUAAGCAUUAUUUUUGAAAAAAAAAAUAUUUUUAUAGAUGAAUACUCAGGCUAACCUAGUGGAUGUGAUCUUGGAACUUCCAUGAUUAUCCACUUAAAGAUCAAAGUAUUAUAUGCUGUGUGCUUUUUAGGUGUUUGUUAGUACUGUGAAGGCAAAAAUGCUUUCUACAUUGACAUUCAUUCCUAUUUUACUGGGCACCUAUGAAUGUAUGCUGUGUGCUAGAAAUAGACUAAAACAUAUUCCUAUAGCAUGUUAGUGUGUUUGCAUGUUUGCUGAAAAUCCUUUGUGUAUAAACCAGUUUGUAAGGUUCUCUGGGUUAGGUAGGGACUCUGCAGUUUCUUCCUGUC